rnacentral:rRNA from 1 species
UACGUAGGGUGCGAGCGUUGUCCGGAAUUAUUGGGCGUAAAGGGCUCGUAGGCGGUUUGUCGCGUCGGGAGUGAAAACUCAGGGCUUAACCCUGAGCCUGCUUCCGAUACGGGCAGACUAGAGGUAUGCAGGGGAGAAUGGAAUUCCUGGUGUAGCGGUGAAAUGCGCAGAUAUCAGGAGGAACACCGGUGGCGAAGGCGGGUCUCUGGGCCGAUACUGACGCUGAGGAGCGAAAGCGUGGGGGAGCGAACAGG